UACAGAGGGGGCAAGCGUUAUUCGGAAUUAUUGGGCGUAAAGGGCGCGUAGGCGGCUUGGCAAGUGGAAGGUGAAAUCCCUCGGCUUAACCGAGGAACUGCCUUCCAGACUGCUUUGCUUGAGGCCGGGAGAGGUGAGUGGAAUUCCCAGUGUAGCGGUGAAAUGCGUAGAUAUUGGGAGGAACACCAGUGGCGAAGGCGGCUCACUGGACCGGUUCUGACGCUGAGGCGCGAAAGCGUGGGGAGCAAACGGGG
rnacentral:rRNA from 1 species